CUCUAGUGAAAGUCCAUUUUUCCUGCUCCUUUUUGUUAAUCACAGGAUUCCAUUAUACUGACAAUAAUCUACAGUUAUUCGUAUCUGAACACUGAUCCCCAGUGAAGCCGGGAUGGAGUUAAAAUGCUUGGAAUUUGUUCUCUAUAGUGCUGCUUUUCAUGUUGAGCAAAAAUACAGCACUUAUAAUUUGUUCCCCUGUAGUAUUUGUCAUCUUUUUACCGCUCUCUUAAGAGUGUAAUUCCUGCCCAAUAUUUUCUUUUUAAACUACCUCUCAUUUAAAUACACGCUUUGUGUUUUCUUAAAAUAAACGCUGUCAUGCAGCUCUUCUACUUCCUUUAUUGAGAAAACAGUAAUACUCAUACGAUUGUGGAAAAAAAGUUGAGAGGGAGGGAGAGACAGGGAAAGGAAGCAGAAAUCAUAACCAAAAAGUUCACACUGAUUAUUGAAAUAGUCAGUGCUCCCUUGGGCUGUGGGGAAGGGAAAGGCACUUUUACAGUGUUUUGGAACAUUUUUCUUCCUCGGGAUUCUGACUUUUCACCACAUAUUUAUGCUACGUUGAGAGAGGAGAAGAAAAGAAAAAGAACUCAAAGGUUUUACAGUUUCGAAGCAAAUAAAGGGGAGAUGCUGUUGUGGCUGCAGAGGUGAGCUAUGGACAGCUGGUGGAAGAGAAUCAGGCCCCAUGGUAAAGAGGGAAAGGACGGAGCAGCUCUCUUGUCUGCCAGAAGAUGAACAUUGCAGUGGGCAUACCAUGGGGCCAGACCACCAGCAGAGCAUUAAACAAGGACAGAUGUGAAUGCCAGGAUAAAAAUGAAGACAUUCCUGAAGUGCUUACUGAAGCUGUUGAUGAUAGUAUUUCAGAACUUACAAGUUUUCCUGACCCAGCUUUGAGCAGUUUACAGUGUCAUCAUAUUUUCCAUCUGAAAAUCUAGGCAGAAGAGCAUGUUUACAAUAGUUCCGUUAGAAAUAGCUUGAGAAAGUCUUCAGUGGGAGAAACCCAAAAUAGAAAUGAGGGUGGUUCCAAUGCCUCCCUGAAGGUAUGGUAUCUUCUUGCGAAGCUCCCUGAGAACCAGGAACAAGGAGCUGUCACAGCAGCAAGGAUGGGCUAUCCCACAGCUGUCAACAGGAGCACCCAGGAGCUGCAGUGAGGGUGUUGGACACUGUACAAAAGAGGAGCAGGUGGUCACUGAGGUUUGACUCAUUGAGUACUCCAGUGUGUUUGCCUGGAAGCAGGAGAAAGAUGGAGAAUCUAAAGGCAUCCUGGUUACAGCAGCAGCAUGACUGAAUCAGCUUUAAUGACUGGCUGAAGCUAGCACUGUAUCUAUGCAUCCAGCGUGGGCUGCAACACAGAGUGACAAUUCAGGCAGAAGCUGGUUUGGGCUGAGUUUUAUGGUGUUGUGGCUAGCAAAGUAGCUAAGCUAGCUCACCAAUGCUCUCCCAAGUUAUUUUUUGUCUUAACAAUACAGGUAGGCCCAAGCAUGAUACCCUUCAGUGGUUCAAGAACUAUCUAAAAUAUUUAAACAUUUUGAGAUGUUCUUCUUCUGGAUGUGAAAGUAAAAAGAAGACUUUGGCUCUGGAAGCCUUGCAACAUUUGAAGUAAAUCACUCCUUAUGGCAGUAUCAAAAUCCGAAGAUGCAGGGAUUUUGAAGACUUAUCUAUGGAUUCAAUAAAAUCUAAAAGCAGAUGUUUAGUAACGUGAGUAUUUUUCCUAGAUCAUCAGUAGCAGUAUUUAGAGGCAUUGCAGAGCUUUGACCAUUGAAUUCAUCAUAGCGAGCUGCAACCUGCUGUAAGUACUGCUCUUGCAUUUGUCUAUCAAAAGAGAAAAUAUAAGACUAUUUUCAUUUCAUACAAGACUAUUAAUAUUGAAACCACUGACGAGUAGACUACUCAAUUAAGGAUAUAUUAACUAGGUUACUUUAUCUCACUCUUAUUUUCAAGAGUCAACAAUCCAAGUACAAGGAGACUAAUGACUAAAGAUUCAGCCUCUUCUGAACAACUGAUGGAGUUCUGUUCCUGAGCUACCUCCUCCUCGAUUCAUUCAGCAUGAAUGGCAGAUUCCUAUAUCGUGUCAAGUUUCAGAUCACCAUAGAAACAAACUAGGAGGCAGUUUCAUUAAUCAUUUAGAGCACAAGAAGUCUAGGUCAGUCUGAUUGCAGCAUAUAGAGUAUCAUCCUAGCGCCACAUGGGACUCAGUUGAUUUGAAUUAAAAAAGAUUAAGCUGCCCCUAGGACGCUCAGCAUCAUCAGUUUAAGUUCUCAUGUAACAGUGGUCUCUGGAGCCACAUGGAUUAGGAGACUGAAGCUAUGCAUUUAUUUUUCAGGGCUCAGUGAAACAUUAGAUGAGUGCAGGUGUCUGAGGGGAAAAAAGGACAAAGAUCACAUAUAGUUUUUUAGACUUGUUGCUGUUCUUUUGAAACUGGAAACAAUAACUCAGUUUUAUUUCUCCAGUGACAGUUACCACUCUUUUUUGGCAAUGCAGUGGUACAUCUGUUACCCAAUGUUUACAACUUAGAUUUAUAACAAUUUCAUACUAGGCACCCUAAUUUUAGUGCAGAGCUGCAAGUUGGGCAUAGAACAGUUUACAUGAAUGCUGACUAUUUUUUUCAUGAUGGAGUAAAAAAUGCACAAAAUAAAUACUGGUGACACUUUAGUUUUACUUGAAUGAAGAUUUAUUGCUCCCAGGAAACUUACUUACAGGCAGCUACAAAUCAACUUGACUAUGAAAUAGCUGUAUAUGUACACCACAAAAUGAGCCCCCCCUCCCAAAGUACUCACCUUAUUUAUGGGUCUUUCCAGUACUUCAAAGACCUUUAGUAACUUAGUCCAGACUGGUUUAUUGCUUCAUAGAACUAAGACGUUUCAAGAGGAAAGUCGUAGGUUACAGUGUAUUAGGACUCUCUCUUGGGCGGCUGAGAAUCCCAUGAUGCUAUAUGAACUGUUGAUCUAAAGCUUAUUAUAGCCUCACUUCCUACAGUAUAAUUCUUAAAUCUUUUAAGUUAUACAGUGCUGUCUUUAAUCCUGAGCACUAAACCUUAAAGCAGAACUAGUUUUCUAAUAACCAGAGUACCAUCUGUGAGUAGAUAUAAUUAUGCUUUGUAAAAAUACAGUUCACUUGCUUGCACAGGUGGUCCACGACCUAUUUCAAAUUAUUUGAAUUUUCAACAAAUGUUUUACAUAGAAAAAUCUGGGAGCAAAAUCCACUGUCCCAGUGUUCUUUGUGGAGGAAAAAAAUGUAUGUGGGUAGAUGUAUUCCACUUUACUCAAGAACCAGAACACCUCACCCUUUGUGUUUUUCCAAUUUGCCCUUUCUGUGGGAAGUGGUUUUUAUCUGGGCUUUGAUAGUAUCAGUGUAUCAGUGGUGAAGUCUCCCGUUAUGUAACACAUCUAUGGACAUGGAAAUAUAGUAAAUACUUUUUUUUUCCCCCCCUGAUAUGUUGUCAUUUUUAAAUGUGUUAUUCUAGGGAUUUCCGGGGAAGAAAUAACAUUAUGCUCUGGAAGUAUUUUUAGAUUUUUCUAGCACUGUGCAAACUGACUGAUUAUUCCCCUGGGAAGGGGAAAGUGAGUAUUAUCCCCACUUUGCACGAGCGGAAAUUGAUAUGGAGUCACACUAAGCAACUUGCCUCAGGCCAUGAAGGCUCUUUCCACCUGGAGGAGGAUGCAGUGAGUCUGCAAUGAUACACAAGUCCAUGUGGGAUCCCUGAUCUCUUCUGCUGCUCAAAGCCACAAGGGAGGAGAUAUCUUCUGCGUAGCCUGUUUCCAACAGGUGAUGUGCAUUUGGGCAGCUGUCAUGUCAUGCCUGGAAUGUGAUGAAAACAAGAGGUCCUGACUGCUCACCACUGAGGAGCUCCCAGAGCACUUCUCACAGGAGCAGGGGUGUUAACCCUGAUAUCCUGGUCAAAUUCCAACAAGGCUAAUUAUAUCCCACUUACCUAAAACUCUGCCAUGCUUUCCCUGCUUGCUGCAAGGUCUUGCUAUGUGAAACAGGCUCUCUUCUGAUCUUAUUAAACACUAUGGUCUUCCGCGUCAGAUGGGGAUAUAUUUAGGGGACAGCUAAAGUUAGGUCUCAGGUUGAUAUAUUUCUUGUCCAGCGCAGUAAUGCUGGACGUAAACCGACAUUGUUUGCAGAAAGAAGAGUCUGCAUUGCAAGUGUAGUUAAGAACAGCCACUUGCAAGCAAUGGUAAUGGCCAUAGUAACAGUAUCCAUUGAGUUCCUGUAUCCGGCCUUCUGCCUGAUGGACAUUAAGAGCAGGAUCAGUGUGGGUGGGGGCUGAACACUGAACAAAAGUGUGGGGGAAGAGUGGCACAGGUGACUGUUCCCUGGCAGUGAGAUCAAGGUGCCCAAGGGGGAGGCAGAAGGGGCUGUGCUUCUUUCUGAGUCUGCUUCAAGUGCACUACACUAUAUUGAGGAUGCUUGUGACAGUGUAGCCAUUGAAGACCCUAUAGUAUGUGAAUUUCCUGAGGAUCUCAGGCCUAUGAAGUGGUACUAAGAGAUUAUUUUAGCUUUGCAAAGGUGCUGUGAUAUCAAGCAACGGGGAAAAAAAUAUGUGUUUAUAGUUUUGACUAAAGAGUAAAUUAUCAAAGAUGACAUUGAAGUUGCCAUAUUGCAUCUUAUUAUUUGUUUUUAAAGACUGUAGAUGUGGUGUGUAAUGCUGCUGAAAUGGCCACAUGAUAAUCCCAGUGAGGCUUUUUGCUUCUUGUUUAGAAAUAAAUAUUUCCAGGAGGAAAACAAAUCAUGUAAAUGCACCUCUGCCCCUUUAUCUACUGGAAUCUCAUCUAUCUCAUUAUCUUUUCGGUACAAGCUGCCACCAAAAUAUCUUCGAAAUGAACAGAUGUUACAGGUUUAGCUGGAAUUGCCCAAAGCAGAUGUAAGAGUGGAUACCAUUCUUACUGUUGUUUCUUAUCUCUUUGCCCGCAAAUCAAAGUUGCAUCUUUGUCUGCAAAGGUUCCUGUUGAUAUGUGAGUCAGCAAAGCCAUCUCCUUAUAGCUCACCUUGCAUGGCAGAGCCCUACAUUCACAGAUUUUCUUCUCCAUGAUACACAUGCAUGCGUAUGCACACAAACACACACACACACACACACACACAUACACAUAUGUGUUUACACACAUAUUGUUAAGUUGUUGGUAGCACAGCGGUGCUGUUACCUAGUAGAAUUAUUUCAGAUUGCUUCAAAUUUUUAGUUGAAUAGAUGACAGUAGGAUAUGUAUUAGAUAAAUUAAAUGUGUUGGUGUUCACACAAGUAUAUGCACUUGAAGCUAUUUUUGUUUUUUGAAGACAAGUGCCUUUAGCACAACUAGCAACCUUCAAAAAUGUGAAUAAGGGCACAGAGUCUUAAAAGCCUCUUCCUGUCUACUGUGUCUCCCCAGACAGGCUGAGGCCACAUUAAUGGAAAAAGCACAAAGUGAACAAGAUGACCUAACAGAUGCUACCAGGAUGUACUGUACUUUUCCUAAGAUAAAUAAAGCCUGUCAUUUUCAGCAGUAUCAGCAAACCCCACAUAUUCUUUACAGUGUAAUAAAAUAUAGCAUUAUAGUGUUCCAAAUUGCUUUGUAAGUCCAUAUUCUUUUAAAUAUUAUUGGUUCUCCUUAUUCUGUUUAACAUACUUAAAUAUUAAUUACAUGAGUAUGGCAUAAAAUAUCCAUCAAUCUAGCUCAUUUUCACUGUCUUAAAUGGGAGCUUAGAGUAAAAAAAAAAAAAACAGCAUAUAAAGUAAACUCUGAACUAUGGCAAUUUAGAACCUCAGAUUUCGGACUUAUAAGCUGCUUUUAUUCAGCAGCAAAAUUACUCCAAAUGACUUUGAGUUUCUGUAAAAAAAAAAAAAAACUACAGCAACACUAAGGCACUCAAUUUCUGCAAGGACUCACAGAUUUAUCAUCUCAGAACUAUAAAAGAGCUGGGGAAAAGAAACUCUCCCUUCACUAAAGAUGAAUUUGUAUUUCUUUUUUUACUGUAGAUAGGUUUGUACAUCAGAUGAAUGAAUCUUAAAAUUUCUCUGAGGAGAGAAAGAUUUCUCUCAGGUUAACAGAUGCCACACCAGUUUGCUCAGACAUGUGCAGCACACAAAUUCUGGACAAAAUUUCUGACUAUUCUUAUUCCAGCAGAGCCAGUUUGCAGUUUCUCAAACCAAUCAGCAAAGCAGAAUUUUCCUACCCCUAGAGAUAGGUUUUGUUUUGAAAGAAAUCAUUCUUGCAAUGGAAGAUGGCUUUGCACCCAUCUUCCCUGCCUCUAUCUAGCCUUUCUGUCCUUGAAACCUUGUCCUUUCCACAGAAGCACAGAGCUAGUUGUAUAAACUGGCAGCUCAUAUCUAUCUCUGUGUCCACAUGGAAGUAGGUCAUUUUUUGCUUUUUCUUAAAGACUGUUGCUUUCAGCAGCAUUAUUUUUUUUACAAUCAGUAUAGUGCUGCCUCCAGCACCUUGUUUCUGGGAGUGACAAGCUGCCCUAAGCCUAAUAAAUGCUCAUAAUGAGUGGUUAUAGAAAACUAGUUUCAAACAGGAGGUUCUUUCCAUAGCAAAGACUCAGCUCUGCAGUGUGUCCUGCACAGCCUGAGCUAUCCCAUAAUACUUGGAUCAUCAUUAAGCCACUGAAUGUUACAAAGGACUGUUAGCCAGAGGAGCUCAUUGUUUCAUAUGACUGCUUUUAUAUCAAUUUUUUUUCCUGUCUAACAUAAUUGUGUUAUUAUUCUUAUAUAUUUCUAAUCCUAUUUGAAUCCUGUUCUGCUCUUGAUCAUUCCUGAUCUCACCUGGAAAAUGGGUAAUUGUCACUGUUUGUCUUACUAGCAAGAUAUUUAUCUAGGCUUUUCCAAUUAUCUGCUGAUAUUUCCCUUAUGUAAUGGGAAACAUGAAGUCAUCUGAUACCAAAGUUUGAGUAAAUCUAGUUCAUGUUGAAAUUGCCUCAAAUGGUACCAGUGACAAAAUCAAGAUCAUAGUAUGCAAUAUUCUGCUGAGAGUUUAAAACAGCAAUUUUGAAGAAGACAUCUACAUCCCAAGUUCUGGGUCAAGAAAUAGAGCUAUGUAUAUGCCAUUUGAAGCAUGAACCUCCACAGUGCAUUACGAUUCUUCCAUCUUGAUACAGAAUGCUACCUGAGCUGUUCUACUGUAUCAGAUGAAAAUCAAUAAGGAAUUGCAGAUCUAUAAAAAUAGACAUCUGAGUGGUAUAGAAGACUAUACCACAGAAGAUGGAUUCAUUUUCAGUUUUGUCAUGUUUCUCUUCUGUACUUCCAUAAUCAGAAAUGCAUUACUUCAACAGAAUGCUUAAAAAUUCAUACAUGUGACAUAAUGCUUCACUGAACUUUAAGAUGUCAGUUUGGAAAAAGAAAGAUGGAAAAUUUGGACUUCGUAUUUUAAACAGUUUCCUUACAAUAAACUUUUCUGGUCUGCUGAGUCUUGUCCCAAGUGGAAUUGGUGAGAUACAUCCUCAAGAGGACAGUUAGACUGUUGAAAACACUUGGAAAUAUCUCCUGGUUAUGUCUUAUUUAUAGAAGUCAACUGAGAGACAUGUGGUGUUCUGUCAUAUUGCUCUUCCAAGAGCCUCAUAUUUAUUAUUCUCAGUUGGCAAAAGUGUCCUUGUUUGAAGUUGUACAAGUUAAUCUCUGCCAGUUUAGCCCAAGAGCACAAGAUCACUUUCAAACUGCUUUUCCAUAUUCCCGCUUUUAAGACAUCACCUUCAUCACGUGAUAUGUCUUCUUUUCUGUAGAUGUGUGACGUGCAAAGCAAUUUAAUGCAGCACAUAGCAUCUAUGACAUCAGAACCAUUCCCUGCCAGCACUUUAACAAGAUUCCAUUUUGCAUGUCCAGCUUCAGGACUUUCCGAGGGCUCUGUUGCUUUAAGAUACAGAAGACUGGUUCAGACCUUCACAAGAAGCUGUCAGCAGAGUUUGCAAUGUCCUGCAAGCCUUGAAUUGCAUGUAGGAUUUUGUAUUGGCUCAGUAUUACUUACAGUGUUUUGCUGUUUGUGAUUAGGUUUGCAGGAAGGCUGACUGCGGAGUUCUGAUCUGGAUUUCUCCAAAGUGUUUGGGUCUGUUCUGGGCUGCAGCAUGCUGUAGUCAGCAUUUGUUCAUAUAAACAUCUGUAAAACAUUUGGCAUUACUUGAAAAUAUUAGUCACAAUUGUAAAACUAAUAAAAAUCCUUCUUUCUUAUUUUAACUAUAAGGUGGUCAUAUAUGCUGGGCACUCAUCAUUGAUUUAGAUGUUAUCUCUCUGCUAGUAACAUUUUUGCUGUGCUUGCUCCAAAGGCUGCAUUUUUGAUCUGGGAGCAAUUCUCAGCUAAGAAAAUUCAUUCAACUGAAGCUCUGUGCCAGAACUUGGAGGACUUGCAGUUGAUUUACAUCCAGGUGCUCUAUACCAAUUUGUACCAAUUCUCAAACCUCUCUGACAAACUCCACGGUAGAUUUUCAGCAUGCCCUAAUAAGCAGCACUUUCUUAUGCAAAGGGAGGCUCCUCAGAUGAUCACUCAGACUAUAAUAAAGAUGAGGACUUUGUAUAGAUAUUUUAAACACUCUAAACGAAAGGUAUUAGCAAAGUGUUGUGAAAUAAGGGCUUCACUAUAUGAAUUACUUACCUCUGAAAUGCAGUGUUAUUGUAGCAAAUUAACUAAAUCCAGAGGCACUUUCCCCUGCAGAUAUAUGCCUACAGUUGUGUCUAAAUGCAAUGCAGGAUGAAUAAAGUCCUGAGUGCCAUGUGGUAAAAAGCACUUUUCAUGUGGCAUAAGCACUUCAACCCAUGAAUUUGCAAUUAAAAUGAAUUUCAAGAGGCAUUUUACUGAGAUUACGUAAUGUAUUUGUUAAGUAUAUGCCAAAUAUUCACUGCUCAUUGGGCUUUCUGAGUCAGAAAAUUCUGUGUAUACUUUCCUUUACUAUGGACUAAAUAAGGAGCAACCACUUCUUAUCUGCUGCGGCUUGAAACAGAGAGUCAGAUAUUAUGAUUUGGCAACUUGUCAUGCUGAAACAACUCAGUCAUACAGCCACAGCCUGAGGGUGUAUACCUCCAUAACUGGAAUUUGCUGACAAAUUAUGAGAACACCCCUCAUAUGGACACUGCUCAUGCUUCAGACUAAAAUAUACAACACAAUUUAUAUAUGACAGCAUAUAUAUGACAUGCUUUUGCAUAGUCUUGCUACGUUUUCCAAAAUGUCUCAAUUUUCAGGUUACAGACUGUGACCCACUUCAAGUUCUUGCUGGGUAAAGCCAGAAGUUCUCUUUGUGUGUGUGUAAUCUUGUAAAAAUUGAUUCACAUUGGCCUGUUUCAACUUCAGAAGUCAGUCAGCAGGAAUGGCACCUCUAGUUCCCAGGAAGCAGAGAAGAGCUGAUGCUGUGUCCUUGAAAAUUUGCCCUGUAUGCCCAUCAGUGAUGGUGCGUGGCUGUGCUGAGCGCUUCAGUAACAGAGCUUUUUUCCCAAGUAUGGCUAUGAUGUCUUUGUUUAUAGAAUACUUUUCUAAACCAGGUUCAGCAUCAUGCCUACAAAAUUAGUAAUCACAUUUUUGGCAAGUAUUAGGUCAUACUAUCUGCAGAUUGUUCAUAGCUUGUUUAGGACUAAAUAAAAUUUGCUCUUUGUUCUGAGAUUAGUUUUCACUUCUACUUGGGCAGAGCUUCAGCUUUCUCAUUUAUCUGCCAAAUGUCACUUCACUGAGUCUAUCCUCCCACCCAAAAGAGGAAGCUCCUUCAAAGCUACAUUUGCUGGACUUGGAAAAUAACAUCUAAGGCUCCCUUAAAUAAUGACCAUAAAGAAUACUUCCGAGAUAGCAGACAUUAGUAUGAUGAUAUUAGUAUCAACCUCUGCUCUUUUGUUAUUCUUGUGUUUUGAAGAGCCUCAGGGAGGAUUGUAGGCACACCUUUUUCACUGGUGUCUUUUGUUGGCUGACCUGAAGGUAGAAGGUGCCCUAUCGGGCUAUAGUGAGUUUGUCUGGGGCUCUUCAUUCCAUCUGCUCUACUACUCUGCUAAGCGUUCCCAUUCCUCAAUAGAUGUGUACAAGCAGCACUCUGGGCUAGCUGUCACUCACUCGCUUUCUGAAUGCAGAGAAGAAAAGGAGCAAAUGAGGAGAGAACAGUGAGUGGGAAUCGUUUCCCUGCCUUCCUGCCCUUGUCAGGCACACAUUAAUUGUGACAGUGGUUUGAACAUCAAAGAAUAUAGACAUGAGAAGUAAAGAUGUGAGCCGACAGAAAGAGAGAAAGAGGAAAGAAUAGGUGUGGUGUUACAAGAGGAGGUGUGUGGUAGAUCUAAGGGCUUAACUUCCAUGAGGUAAUUAUAGAAGCAUAAACAAUAAAUCAGACUUUAUCUGGCAAACCUUUGACCAUACAAAAAAAGGAAGAUACAUCAGUGGGAUUAUAGGAUCUAGCUCUGUAAGGCAUGGGUUAUAGCCAUGCAGUUUUGGGCCCUCGGUUUCUCUUUGAGCAGCUUGAUAGCAAGGCAUGCAUCAAAACUGUUACUGAAAACAUGCUGUGGGUUUCUUGUAUCUUCAGCUGAAGGAGAAAGCUGUUACUGAUUACUGGCUACGCUGGUUGUAUUUCAGGGCUGGUCUUGUGUGGUGGUUUUCUUUUCAGCUCUGAAGUCAGUUAGCUGUGUGAUAACCUCCUUCUUCCCCACCAGGGAAGAUCUCCAAGAGUCCACUUCUGUGACAGAUCUGUGCAGUGGAAAGAACUAAGGUGGGAACAAAGGCUCUCCUUCUUUCCUUUUCCGCACCCCUAUCCCCUUCUCCUCCAUUUCUGCAGCACCAGAAUGAAAAUCAGGCUCCUUCACCCCUUCAUGCAUACUGCAAAAUCUGUAUCACCAUUGUCUAAUCAACAAAAUGAUUUGUAAAGAUUUCACUUUACCUUUGAUCUUGCAAAAUGAGCGUAGCUUUAAGAAAAGCCAGAUACUUUAAAGAUCACCACAUGGUUUUAAUAGCAUUUUCUACUUUGUUUCAUAACUUGAAUGAACAAGAUAUGAACAGUAUUCCUAUUGUCACCACAUUUCACUGUGUUAUCACGUUUGCUAAUAUUUCCUAGUUAAAAAAAAUUUGGCAGCUAUUAUGAAGCUGAUGUAACUUAAUAUCUGCUUCUAGCUCCAUCAGUAGAGCCUGUUCCAAAGCUUACUGAAGCUGCUAGAAACUUGCUCUCUGGCUUCAGUCUGUUUGAGAUCUGAAGUACAGAAAGGGAAAUGACAUGCUCCGAAGGUUUCCCACCUUUCAGAUCCCAUUUCUUUUCCCUCUUCAGCUAUGCAAAAGCUCUCACCACAUUGCAGAGCACAGUGUGGUUUGGAUGCUGUAUGCACAUAUGUGAACAUGAUGGGUUUAUGGGUGUAUUUUUGCUGACAAACUGAAAUUAUGGGAGAAAGAGAGAGGAAGUACUUUGUUUCAGAUUUGAAGUUACAUUUUUGAAUUGUAAAUAGAGUUUCUGAGAAUUUAAACAAAAAUAAAGAUGUUUUCAUUUCUUUGCCACUGAAAAUGCACAGAAUAAAAAUUGAGAGGAGGAGUGGAGAAAGAUGACAUCCUGGACUCUUCCGUUUUGUUUUCUCCCCAUUACUGCCAUGCUCCUUCACUUGCAUGAUGGGGGUGAGUCUAAACUAGUGCACAGAUUGCUCUUCCACUUCAUAGCCAGGCAGCUGCUUCCUGCCCUGAUAACUAAUUUCAUUUAUUUCCUUUUCAGAAGACGGCCUGCCCUGGGUGGCAAUUACAGUUGGUUAAUUUUGGCACAAUGUGAUUAAAAGCAGAUUGAUAUAAAUCACUGAACAGUGUAGCUUAUGAAAAUGCAAGUUAAAGUAGCGCCCCAACCACAGUGCUGUCAUGAGAGAAGCUGAAAGCCAGAUGUUGGUCUAAUCAUGAUAGAAAUAAUCUAGUAGCAGACUUUAUCCUCUGGAGCUUGAAAGCCUUACCUAAUGGUUUUUGUCAGCCAGAUACCUCAGUGUUGCAAUACAUAUUGAAUGUUUUAGAGGAUCAGAAGUUGGUUUGUUUUCUUGGCUUAUAGAUGGAUAUUCUGGGAGUAGGUUUGUGUACACAAUCUGCAGGAGCCCCAGGUGAAAAGCACCUAGUAGGGGAUAAGAGACAUUCUGAGUAUCUAAGGUGUCCAAGUGUCUUGGACACUCAAAAUCUUACCUUAUUUUAAAGUAACCUAUGUGUGGUUGUGUCAUUAGAAUAAUGAACAAAUAAUGAGUGCUUCUGGAAUCACCAGAGGUAGAUAUAUGUGUGUACACUGAGUGUAAUUAAAACUGCAAACAGAUCCUUCCUGCAUCUCACUGCAUUUAUCAAGGAAAAACUACAUUAAUUGAAAAUAGUGCCUGUAAGUUAAAGUCUUUAUUUUUGGAUCAGCAGAGAUGUGAUAGGAUGAGUUCACCUUAAGUUAAAUGUGAAUGCCCCGAUUACAAGCUUGUUUCAGGCUCUGUAUGGCUUAAAAUGUGAGCCUGUUCUGGCUACUGUGCACCCAUAGGUGAACUCUGCAGGCUGAAGAAUAAGUGUGGGGGCUCCUGAGCCAGCAUCCUGCCCAACACUUUCAUCUGGCAUGCUGUCAUCUCCUCUGAGAGGCCCUGCAUGAUAUUGAGGUGACACAAGGUGCAGCUAGGGAGAGAUGAAGCUAUGGUCCACAAUGACACAGUUCAUAUGUACUAGCAGACACCAUGUGCUACUGCUAUCAGUUUUCAUACCAGAUUAUUCACUGGGCUCUGCAAUAAGAAAAUGAUAGAAAAGCCAUUAAUUUGUCUGGUGAUUAAGCUGGACAAGGAAACCCUAUAAAGACCAACAUCUGCUUUCUAAAAUAGAAUAGUCCGGAUGGAAGGGACCUACUAAGGUCAUCAAGUCCAGCUACUGUGGAUGGCAUAAAAACAUUUGGUUCAGGGACAAUUUAUGCCCUCCAAAAAUGUCUUUUUUCUAGGGACAAACCCUCCACUUCUUUCAAAGGUAUUUUGCACCUGGUAUGUGCAGUCUACAUUUUAUAACAUUUUUAACAAAAGAAAAAUGUAAGAAGAGGGAACUGCUUCUUUGUUUUGCUUGAGACUUGUGCCAGAACAAUCUCCAAGGAAUUGACAGUGCCCUGAUCAGAUAGAAAUAAAUUAUGGGGACACUAUUUUAUAUCCUUAUGUGUCUCUGUGCAAAUGCAUUUGGAGAUGGUGAUGUGAAUGUGAAAAAAUAACAUUUGUGGAGAUAUGGAAAUGAAGAGGGAGGAAAAAAGAGGAAAAGAGAAGGGGAGCAAGCUGCUGAGAGCACAGCCACUCAGCCAGCUACCUGCAUCAGACAGUGACCAAAGCCUCUGCCCAAGACAGUCUUUGUAUUCUAUGAUAUGAAUUUUCUUCAACAGUAGAGCACAAUUUUCCUGAACUCUCUUUUUCUUUUCCUACCAAAAAGGAUGUUUUGGAGAAUCUUUGCUGACUGUCACAUUGCAAUUACUGCAGUGCGGAUGGCAAAGUUUGUGGGAAGGAGGAAUACUGAAGAAGAGUUAAAAAUUAAGGCAACUUGUUUGGGUUUUUCGUUGUUGUUUUUAUAUAUAACAUAUGCAGAUCUGUUGAGGUUUUUUUUUUUUCUUCAUUUUAAGAAAAGCUUCAAAAUUAGGAUAGAAAAAUGAUUUUUUUCUCAUUCCCAGUCUUUUGUUUUAAGCAUCUGUGCUUUGUUUUAAUCAUGGAUGUGCAUGAUCAAGAAAUUACACUGAGAUCUGCUCCCAUUCCAUAGAAGACUCAGAGCAAAACCUCUAUGGUUCUUCAGAGUAACCUUCUCUUGCACUGGGCUUCACAUCAUAUACUACUUAAAUCUGAGCACACACACUUUCAGAGUCAAGGCUUUACAAGGUCUGGACUGUUUCUUUCUUUGAUGAAUAGUAUAUGGUGCCAAAAUUUGCCAGAUCCUGCCUGUACAAAACAGGGGCUUAGAAUUAACAUUGUAUGUGUUUAAUGGCAGAAAAAAAAAACAGACUUGGUCUUCUGGUGGAAGGGAGUCUUAUGCACAACAGUAUCUCUGGAUUGUAUUUGUUGCUUUCACAGACAUAAUGACUUUUCCAUGUGUUUGCUGCUGCUGAAAUUGCCAUUAAAAGAACUAAGUUGAUGGUAUCAAAUUCUUGUACUUUUGUGGUAACCUUGUUCAAACAAAGCAAGAAACUUCACGCUUUUUCAGAAGCUGUACCCUUGACACAAAGAGAUACGGAAAAAUAGAGAAAGGUGAUGAGCUAUUCUCAAAUCGAGAAUAUCUAAGCCAGUAACUUAAUGCUGGCUUAACACUGUUUUGUUUGUCCUUAUUCCCCUGUAAUCAGAGAAGACUGCAGAUUCCUAGAAAUCCAUCAGUAUGGCUCAUUGCUGGUAUGGCACAGUGGUGGCACUAUGCAAGAUUUCCAACAGUGCCAACCAUGUGUUGUUUGUCUGUUCAGCAGAAGCACUGGUGGGAUAGUAAAAUGCUUGCUUGAGUCAAGAUAAUGUCAGUUGCUUAUGCUCCUUAAAAAUCUACUGGUGCUAAGAAAAUGUUGCUCUAAUCAUCUGAACGUUGCUGCUUUGAAAAAGUAUGAAUAUGAAAUCCCACAUAUGUGAUAAUGAUUUUGAGAAAGCAAUGAUCACUGCAACUAAAGCAUUUGCAUCUGUUAAAAGCACAGCUUGCUCUUUCACUUGUGUCAAAGCUGCUGGCACAGAAUUCAAAGUACUGGAUUGGCAACUCUAUCAGGAAGCAAGUGCAGCACAAAGCCAUAAUAGCUGUCUUGGUUUGCUUUUGUUAUCUAAAAAAUUUCAAGUGCUUUGGAUAACAUAAGGUGCCAUAUAACUAUGGAAGUUGUUGGGCAGCAGCUUGACAGCCAUAUGCCUAUAUCUAUAAUGUAUGCACAGCCUCAUCUUUAACUACAUGUUUUCCUUUAGCAGCUGUGGCAACAGUGGUGAGUUCAAACAAUUCCCACACAGUGAAAAUGCAGCUGGAGGUAACAGCUUCUCUGCUGAGGGCACAGAAGACACAAGCACUCCGGUCACUUAAAGACUUUCAGAGGGGCCAAAGUAACCUCAGCGCUUACUGUCUGAUCUAUGCCAACUGUGUUGCAAAGAUUCCCAUCCUAACAUUAACCAGCUCACUGUGAAGUCAUGCACAGUGCAGAAAGGCAGGGAUAUUGGAGGUCAGUUCAGCACCGUGGUGAAGCAGCACUCCUGCUCCUGGUGCUGGUGCUAAUGCAUGUGGGUCACCAGGGCUAUCUCUGCACUGCUGCCAGGGUUAAGCCAGUUCAUGGUUCUCUGCACCUGUGGAGUAAACCUUUUUUUUUUUCUGAAAACUCCUUUUUUGCCUUUCUCAGACAGUGAGCAUGGAAGAACUGAGACAGUAUGGGAGCAGCUGCAAAGGGUAUCCAAGCUCAGCUAGGAGAAGCAGAGGACCUGGUGGUGUGAAGGAGUGUCUCACGCUGAAGUUUUCUCAUGCUCUGGCACACAGGAGAGAACAACACUGCAGUCCCGUGUAAAUGUGUUAAGAAAUGUAGAGUUACCGAGUCAGACACAUGGUCCAUUUUCUUCUUCUGCUGAACCACCCUUGUCAAGCACUUCUUUAGAGACUUAAUGUGGCAAUCUGUCAUUCACAGAAAGGUGCAUGAGGAAUGUAAAAUGCUGUUACUGGAAUUUAUCAAGAGCAGCUUCCAUAAUCUGCUACGCUGUAAAAACGUUCAUGUUUUAGCAUGCCAAGGGAGCUCUAGCGCUGAUACCUUCAACAAAUAGGAAGCACAUGGCAUAUUAAGCUCGUUUCCUCUCAAGUCCAUGGUUUACUUUUGGAGCAUAUAUAUGAAAAGAAAAUCCAAGCAUCAGCUGCACAGGUUAAAAAGGUAAGGCCUUUCCUUGUGUGUCUGAAGUGGGGAGUCACAUAAAGCAAAUGGAUUUGGCAGCUUUCCUUUGCUCUUUUUUGUUUCUGAAGUUGAACCACAGUCAUAAGAUACCAGAAAGUAACGUGAUCACUCAGUGAUAAUCUAUCCAUGAUAAAUAUACAGCGUUGGAGGGAAGCAAGCAAAAAGGAAUUUUGUGUGCAAGGUUUGGCCUUUCUCAAAUAAGAGACCACUUCAGAUGAUCGUGUUGCUUUGAUCUAUGACCCAAACUCAUCCGAGCCUUCAGUGAAGGUAUUACAGAAAAUCUAAUCUGUAUUUAUUCACCUUUCUACCAAGCUUGCUGCUCUGAAAUUAAUGCCUCCUAUUUUGUGGUGUUGGCCCACAACUUCAGAGGUGGAUGCUGGUAGCGUGUUAGUAGAGCUUGAAAUUUCCCACCAAUAUUCCAUUACAUUUCGUUGCUGUGUGACAGAUGGUAACAGAGGGGCAGUCUGACGAAAUGGCCUCUGACAUGGAAGUGCGUACAAAGCAAAGGUGUGUCACUGAAUUCCUCCAUGUGGAAAAAAUGGUCCCCUUUGACAUUCAUUGACACAUGCUGAAAGUUUAUGGAGACCAAACAGUGGAUGUGAGUGCAGUGAGGAGGCGGAUGGUGCAUUUCAGCAGUGGCAACAGAGACAUGAAAGACAAACCACGUUCCAGACAGACAUGCACAGCUGUCACACCACAAAAUGAAGACUGUCUCAAUCAGCUCAUCCACACAAAUUGGUGAAUUACAACCAGAGAACUGUGUACAGGGUUGAAUAUCAGCUUCAGUGCAUUGAAAAUGAUGAUGGUAACGUUGGAAUAUAAUGAAGUUUGCGACAAGUGAGUCCUGCAAAUGCUCACACAGGAACAGAAAGAGCAUCGUAUAAUGUAACAGACAGACCAGCAGUAAGAGGUGGUUACAGAAGAAUCCCACUUUAUAGCUCUCUGUGACUCCAGGGAAUCUUUAGCCCUGCAUCAGUUGUCUGGGUUUCCUCUGCAACUUAUGGGGAGAAUGAAGGGAACUACUGGAAAUUGCUGAAGUGAUGAUUAAACUGUGUUAAAAGAAUGAAGAACCAUGGAGUAUCAGUAAGGUGGGACUCAGUUAAGUCCCUUCUUGCACACAUAUUUAAACUACGUUCUGUUGCUGAGUAAAACAGGGCUGGCAUCUUCCAAUGGAAAGCAUAGCACUACAUACCACACACACAUGAUGGAACUAUUGAAGAAAACAGCAGUGGGAAUGGUGCCUCACAAGCAGACAUUUCCUUAACCAGCAACUUAUAGAGCCUUAGAUUUUCCUGCUUUAGUGGCUUAACUGCCUGAAAAUAACUCCGUGUUCACUGGGCUGGCCUGUUCUGCAUCUUGAAUAAUCAACAAAGUCACUAUUUGACUAGUCUUAAAGUCUCUGUUUGUAAUGAAGAUCAAACUGAUGAUUAGAAAAGAAAAAAAGAAGAAAGAAAGGAAUGAAAUGGGACGCCAAGUCUGUUUAAAUCACAGAGCUUUUCUGGGAAUUAAGAGGUCCACGGUGCACUUGAACUAUUCAAGAACCUAUGAAAUAAAGGGGAGAAGAAACCAAAGGACAGAGACUGAAUUAAUCCAGAUUAAUCCAGGAAAGAGGAGGCCAAACAAUCCAAGACUCAAAUACAAAACAUUUUCUCAAGUUCAGAAGUAGCAAAUUUUCCACUGGAAAAUGGAUUGGCUUUAAACUGUUGUUAAAUUAUCUAAACUAUCCAACUUUCCACAAAGCUUUUAUGCUGCAGUUUUGAUCUGUACACAAAGCUUCUGGGAGAAUUGCAAAAUACAGCAAACAAACCAAAUUGCACUUCCUAAUUUCUGUAAUUGCUUGUUACAACAUUCUUGGGAGUUGAAACAAAUUGAACGCAUUGGAACAUUUUACGAAGUUUCCCUUGCACAUAAGAACCGCCUUGGAUCUCAUUGAUAGAGGCUGGUUUGGUUUUAUUUGUUCUCAACAGCAAAUGAUAGAAGUUGUUUAAAAUGGAAAAACAAAAAUCCCUAGUGGAAACAGAUUCCCUGUGAUUUGGUUCCUGGUCUUUGACAUUCACGUAUCCGUGUCUACUGCUUGCUAACGCUGCAUUGCAUUUCAGCUUGCCUCAGCCCUGCAGAAUUAAAUGGUAGCUGUAUUUAUGGGCACACUGUGCUCAGUAGACCGUGGAAGAACUUACGCAAGGUCCUCCUUCUAGUGAGAAAAAGAAAUGUUACCUGUCUGUAAAUACCGCUCGCUCCCUGAUUCUUGACAAGGAUAAAUGCGUCGAGGGAGCGAAGUGGGAGCUCGGGCUGCUUUGGGGACCGCUCUCCUCGCUUUUGCCAUGGGAUGGACCCAGAGGAGAGUGGACACCGCGGUGGUGACACCACGCGGGAGCACCUUCGGCGGCGCGGGGGAGAGCUGUCGGGCUGCACCCGGGAGGCUGAGGGACAGUGAGAACGGAGCCGCUCUUACGUUCACCGAGCAGCGGCCGGAGCUGAGUAUCAGAGCCCUCUAGUGAGACUUCUCGGAGUGGAUCUACCCCCGCGGCCCUCCCGGACGGCCUCCACGCAGCCCGCGGCCGGGGGCCGGUUUCAUUUCUGAGGGGGGGCCGAAAAUCCCCUUGGGGAGACGGGGGGCGGCCCGAGGUUUGCUUCCCUUUGGGCAACCCCAGACCCCCGCCCAGGAACACCCCAACCACCGCCCCAGCCCGAGGGUCGCGCCGCGACCGAGCAGUGAGCCAAGAGCAGGAGGAUGUCAGCUGAGAAGGGAGCAGAAGGGGAAAGGCAGCCCGAUCCUAAAAAUACGGCCCGGUUAAAUCCCCGUGAGCCGAGGAUGGAGACGGUAACAAAAACGCCUGGAAUCGGUAGGAGCAGUGGACAAUCUUCGUGCUUUCCUCAUCAUCUUGGAAUAAUCAGUGGAAUUAACUGAGGUCGAGGAAACCGGCUCUCGGGUUAGUUGUGGGAGGCUGUGAGAAUAGGGGGCAGCCAUUAAAAGAAACCUGAUCGCUAUUCAUCAACUCGGAAGAGGGAAAAGGAGGAGGAAGGAAAAAAAAGAAAGAAAAAAAAAAAAGAGAGACCUUCGUGGCUUGAGCUCAUACCAGCCUCGUAUACCUCUGAUCAAGAAGAUCCCGGGAAACACGAAGUUUACAAAUAUUGUCAAAGUGAUGCUUGUAGCGUGAUUUCAGUUGUCAAUCCCGCAGAAGCCCACCAGAACUUUGGAUGCAGUGCCCCGCAUUUCUGGCUAGUUAAUGCCAAUCCCCUGAGGCGGAAGGCUCUCCUUAUUUUAACCAUAUGUGCCUGCUGCUGUUGUUGUCUUGUCUGCGAGCUGCGCGCUGCCUUUGCCGAGGGUCCCCCCGUGCCGAGGAGCAUCCGAGGCGCUGCGCGGCCCAGGGGAUACGGGGCCACGUCCCCUGUCCCCGGGCCGCUCCCAAACGGUGUCCCUUCUCCGCGGGACCCGAGCCUGGCUGUGAGACGGGGAUCCCUAAAUAAGCGUUGGCACUGUGGGUCGGGGUGCUGCUGGUAGGAGGAAGUGAAAAUCCUGAGCCCAGCGCCCAAGGCUGAGAGGGGAUACCUUCACAGAAGGUAACGAGGAAGGGUCGCAUUAACGGAGGCAAUGGGAGGGAGCGCGUUCCUCGGCCGGGAAGUGGGGCCGUGCCUGGGCCCCCCUCUCUCAGCACCUCGCCGCCCCCGGAGCUUUCUUUCGAGCGGGUUUGAUGGCAUAACCGAGUGCCCCUCUGCAGAUCUAGAAUCCUCGGCGGAUCCCCCCGAGGAACAGCGCGCUCAGGCAGCUUUCAGUGAGUCCUUUCGCCCCAAAUCACAGAACAACAAGCCAUUGUUGUUAGUCUUAAUUGAGUUAUUCGCGGUGAUCCUCCGUCGUGUUUUCAUUUUCGGCCGGGGCGGGAUCUCAGUCCGUCUCCGGCCAUCUGUGAUGGGACAGACUCCGGUUUGUUUCGGAAUAAAACGCCGAAAUAAAUAUAUAACGUGAAUAAAUAAGCCGGAGAGAGAACCCGAGGCUCCCGGCUGCGAAAUGCCUCCGGGCUCCACGCUGUGCCAUGGCCGUGGGUCGGGGCACGGUGGAGGCAGACGCGGGCAGGCCGGGGGGUGCUCGGGGGGGACACGCAGGCUGCUCCUAAGGGUCGUUGUGAUCCAAGGAAAAGCGAGAUAGAGAAGCAGGCUUUCACCCAAGUUAGAGCACCCUGAUUUAGAAGGAAAUGCAUAUUGUGUCAUGAUGGAAAGGAAAGGAAAGGAAAGGAAAGGAAAGGAAAGGAAAGGAAAGGAAAGGAAAGGAAAGGAAAGGAAAGGAAAGGAAAGGAAAGGAAAGGAAAGGAAAGGAAAGGAAAGGAAAGGAAAGGAAAGGAAAGAAUAAACGCUAAGUUGGAGCCGUUUGUCACUUGCUUGCUCUCUCUACAGUCCUCACCACGGUAAAGGACGUGUGUGAGGAAGAUGUGUUUCAUCCUGGCAAUAGGAACACCUCGGGGUUCAGCAUUUUACUCUACCAGCCCCGAGAGCCCCUCUGCGCCCUUCGUCUCGGGUGGCUGAAGGGCCGCAGGAGGGAUGAGGCUGUCCGCGAGAAGGCGCAUCAUCUGCCAAGGGCGCAGUGCGGAUCUGCGGCCUGCGGGUGGCUGCGGGCUGGGGGGAGGCACGGCCGGGAGGGAGACUGUCACAUAACUUCGGCGUUGUAUUGGCACUCACGUACGGACACAAACCGGUUACGUGCAGCGAGAGGCUCCUGGAAGAGACACGCUCGGGCGUCCCUCCCUCCCCUCAGCUCUACUGCUCCCUGCUCAAUAAAAG
ensembl:lncRNA